rnacentral:rRNA from 1 species
GGAAUAUUGGGCAAUGGGCGAAAGCCUGACCCAGCGACGCCGCGUGAGGGAUGAAGGUCUUCGGAUUGUAAACCUCUUUCAGUAGGGAAGAAGCGAAAGUGACGGUACCUAAAGAAGAAGCACCGGCUAACUAUGUGCCAGCAGCCGCGGUAAUACAUAGGGUGCAAGCGUUGUCCGGAAUUAUUGGGCGUAAAGAGCUCGUAGGUCGUUUGUCGCGUCGAUUGUGAAAAUCUGAGGCUCAACCUCAGACCUGCAGUCGAUACGGGCAAACUAGAGUGUGGUAGGGGAGACUGGAAUUCCUGGUGUAGCGGUGGAAUGCGCAGAUAUCAGGAGGAACACCAAUGGCGAAGGCAGGUCUCUGGGCCAUAACUGACACUGAGGAGCGAAAGUGCGGGGAGCGAACAGGAUUAGAUACCCUGGUAGUCCGCACCGUAAACGGUGGGCACUAGUUGUGGGAACCUUCCACGGUUUCCGCGACGCAGCAAACGCAUUAAGUGCCCCGCCUGGGGAGUACGAUCGCAAGAUUAAAACUCAAAUGAAUUGACGG